rnacentral:rRNA from 1 species
CGGGACGGGUGAGUAAUGUCUGGGAAACUGCCUGAUGGAGGGGGAUAACUACUGGAAACGGUAGCUAAUACCGCAUAACGUCGCAAGACCAAGAGGGGGACCUUAGGGCCUCUUGCCAUCGGAUGUGCCCAGAUGGGAUUAGCUAGUAGGUGGGGUAAAGGCUCACCUAGGCGACGAUCCCUAGCUGGUCUGAGAGGAUGACCAGCCACACUGGAACUGAGACACGGUCCAG